rnacentral:rRNA from 1 species
UCAUUUACCGGCAUCGGUUUUUGAUCAAAUAUUUAUAGGAUAUGGAUGGGCUCGCGUGACAUUAGCUAGUUGGAGAGGUAACGGCUCACCAAGGCUACGAUGUCUAGGGGCUCUGAGAGGAGAAUCCCCCACACUGGUACUGAGACACGGACCAGACUCCUACGGGAGGCAGCAGUAAGGAAUAUUGGUCAAUGGAGGCAACUCUGAACCAGCCAUGCCGCGUGCAGGAUGACUGCCCUAUGGGUUGUAAACUGCUUUUGUCAGGGAAUAAACCUUUCUACGUGUAGAAAGCUGAAUGUACCUGAAGAAUAAGGAUCGGCUAACUCCGUGCCAGCAGCCGCGGUAAUACGGAGGAUCCAAGCGUUAUCCGGAUUUAUUGGGUUUAAAGGGUGCGUAGGCGGUCCUAUAAGUCAGUGGUGAAAGACGGCAGCUUAACUGUCGCAGUGCCUUUGAUACUGUAGGACUUGAAUCUAUUUGAAGUGGGCGGAAUAAGACAAGUAGCGGUGAAAUGCAUAGAUAUGNUCUUAGAACUCCGAUUGCGAAGGCAGCUCACUAAGUUAGUAUUGACGCUGAUGCACGAAAGCGUGGGGAUCAAACAGGAUUAGAUACCCUGGUAGUCCACGCCCUAAACGAUGAUAACUCGAUGUUUGCGAUACACAGUAAGCGUCCAAGCGAAAGCGUUAAGUUAUCCACCUGGGGAGUACGGUCGCAAGAUUGAAACUCAAAGGAAUUGACGGGGGCCCGCACAAGCGGAGGAGCAUGUGGUUUAAUUCGAUGAUACGCGAGGAACCUUACCCGGGCUUGAAAGUUAGUGAAUGAUCCAGAGACGGAUCAGUCCUUCGGGACACGAAACUAGGUGCUGCAUGGCUGUCGUCAGCUCGUGCCGUGAGGUGUUGGGUUAAGUCCCGCAACGAGCGCAACCCCUAUGUUUAGUUGCCAGCAUGUUAUGAUGGGGACUCUAAACAGACUGCCAGCGUAAGCUGUGAGGAAGGUGGGGACGACGUCAAGUCAUCAUGGCCCUUACGUCCGGGGCUACACACGUGCUACAAUGGACGGUACAGCGGGCAGCUACAUAGCAAUAUGAUGCUAAUCUCUAAAAGCCGUUCACAGUUCGGAUUGAGGUCUGCAA